CAGUGGCGAACGGGUGAGUAACACGUGGGCAAUCUGCCCUGCACUCUGGGACAACACCGGGAAACCGGUGCUAAUACCGGAUACGACGCACCCCGGCAUCGGGUGUGCGUGGAAAGCUCCGGCGGUGCAGGAUGAGCCCGCGGCCUAUCAGCUUGUUGGUGGGGUGAUGGCCUACCAAGGCGACGACGGGUAGCCGGCCUGAGAGGGCGACCGGCCACACUGGGACUGAGACACGGCCCAGACUCCUACGGGAGGCAGCAGUGGGGAAUAUUGCACAAUGGGCGAAAGCCUGAUGCAGCGACGCCGCGUGAGGGAUGAAGGCCUUCGGGUUGUAAACCUCUUUCAGCAGGGAAGAAGCGCAAGUGACGGUACCUGCAGAAGAAGCACCGGCUAACUACGUGCCAGCAGCCGCGGUAAUACGUAGGGUGCGAGCGUUGUCCGGAAUUAUUGGGCGUAAAGAGCUCGUAGGCGGCCUGUCGCGUCGGAUGUGAAAGCCCGGGGCUUAACCCCGGGUCUGCAUUCGAUACGGGCAGGCUAGAGUUCGGUAGGGGAGAUCGGAAUUCCU
rnacentral:rRNA from 2 species